rnacentral:rRNA from 1 species
CCAGACUCCUACGGGAGGCAGCAGUGGGGGAUAUUGCACAAUGGGGGGAAACCCUGAUGCAGCGACGCCGCGUGGGCGAAGAAGUAUUUCGGUAUGUAAAGCUCUAUCAGCAGGGAAGAAAGAAAUGACGGUACCUGACUAAGAAGCCCCGGCUAACUACGUGCCAGCAGCCGCGGUAAUACGUAGGGGGCAAGCGUUAUCCGGAUUUACUGGGUGUAAAGGGAGCGUAGACGGCGAUGCAAGUCUGAAGUGAAAGGCGGGGGCCCAACCCCCGGACUGCUUUGGAAACUGUAUAGCUGGAGUGCAGGAGAGGUAAGUGGAAUUCCUAGUGUAGCGGUGAAAUGCGUAGAUAUUAGGAGGAGCACCAGUGGCGAAGGCGGCCUGCUGGACGAUGACUGACGCUGAGGCUCGAAAGCGUGGGGAGCAAACAGGAUUAGAUACCCGAGUAU